rnacentral:lncRNA from 1 species
CCUAACCAUCUCAUUGACGAAAAGUAAGAAACUUAAACCAUGACAAGAGUAAGUUUGAGAAGAGAAACUAAAAGAGGAGAAAGAUAACAUGGAAAUGUAACUGAGAAUUGACUAGCAGUCUUGAGAACUGCAAGGAACAGAAAACUAAACAUGUCUUUCUUUCCUUUUGCGCUGUUGGUUGACUUGCACUAAACUCGGAAGGUAAGUAGACGAGCAGACAAGCGGGGGACGAUAUGUAGUCGGAAUAUGCCCGGUUCUGGGACAAGGUUCCCCGACAUUGGGAGCUACUCCUAGAGUCACAGGUUUAAAGAAUCCAUCCUUUCCACUGAUAAAAGCGGUGUGGUAACGAGCGCUCUCGGUGCUUAGGUAUCCGUCUAGAUCGAAAACCACAGCAACUUUCUCAUCCUCGUCAAUGAAGAAGGUGGCACCCAUAUCAUUGUCAAACCGAACACCAGUGAGUGCCAAUGGUCUCAUAUCCACUGUCAAAAACUUGCUCCAGGACACAGAGUUGGGCUCAAUACUAGUAGUAACCCAAAACUCAACUGUGGUAAACCGAUCAUCACUGUGAAGACCCUCAUUAUGAUAUAGCACCGCGAGCUGCUGGUCUCUAACACAAGAGAGGGUCACAGUCGCAUCGAUAGUAGAGUGAAACGGAAGAGGCAGACGCAGACCAAAUGUCUCUGUUGUAAAAUCAAAACAGAGUAAGAAAUCUUCAAGAUCGAUUAUGUCGCCAUCUUCAUCAAUUUCACCACUGCUGCUAUCCUCAUGCGCAAAAAAGUAGGUAUUUCCCUUCACAGAAACGCCGUAGAGGGGAUGAUUAGGGUCCAUUUCCCCGUUGGGAGUGACCUCGAGAACCCUCCAUGAAUUAGAGCGCAAGUCGUAGAUUUCGUACCUGUAAACGGAAACGUUUCUUGUCUGCACCAUCCUCAAGAUUUUGUGGUUACGGUUGAUGUCGUAUCCAAGAGCAUAGCUGUCUCCUAUGUUGGAUUCUGUUCUGGGUCUGAUCCAUCUUGUUUGCCCCAAAUAAGGGUUCCAAACCACGACCCUCGAGUUGUCCUUAGCCACGCAUAACAACAAGCCGUCGCAGUGAUACACCCUAGAUAUCUCGACUUGAUUAAGCAAAUCUACCUGCUUUAUAGAUAGAUCCAUCGUGUCUUCUUCUUCCUCCUUGCUGCGACGGAGAUGGAAUCUAACUGAACAGACCUUUGAAUCCAUCGUCAUAAACCCCAAAAACUGCGCCGCUGCUUUACCCAGAACCCGAUCUUUGGUUAAAGCGUUCCAUAAUUUGCAAGUGGAUCGCACCGCUCUCAGAGAUGUUAUCGGAAUCCUCGUGAGGAUCUUCUCCCCUACCAGCUUCGGUGGAAGAUCGCACAUACUCGUUCUCUUCGGUUGAAGAUCGCACAUUCUCGUUCUCUUCGGUUGAAGAUCGCAC